rnacentral:rRNA from 1 species
AACGAACGCUGGCGGCAUGCCUAACACAUGCAAGUCGAACGAGACCUUCGGGUCUAGUGGCGCACGGGUGCGUAACGCGUGGGAACCUGCCCUUAGGUUCGGAAUAACUCCCCGAAAGGGGUGCUAAUACCGGAUAAUGUCUUCGGACCAAAGAUUUAUCGCCUUUGGAUGGGCCCGCGUUGGAUUAGCUAGUUGGUAGGGUAAAAGCCUACCAAGGCGACGAUCCAUAGCUGGUCUGAGAGGAUGAUCAGCCACACUGGGACUGAGACACGGCCCAGACUCCUACGGGAGGCAGCAGUGGGGAAUAUUGGAAAAGGGGCGAAAGCCUGACCAAGCAAUGCCGCGUGAGUGAUGAAGGCCUUAGGGUUGUAAAGCUCUUUUACCCGGGAUGAUAAUGACAGUACCGGGAGAAUAAGCUCCGGCUAACUCCGUG